GUAGCUACAAUCUCAAGAAGUUUCGUGGUGAUCUAAUUGCCGGUUUAACUAUUGCCAGUCUCUGUAUUCCUCAGGUGAGAAAAACCUAAACAUACUAGUUUACUUGUAUCACAAGUCACCUAUUAUUGCUUUGUUUCUAAAGUACAUAUAUAUAUUCUAUGAUGAUUCCAGGAUAUUGGAUACGCUAAGCUCGCUAAUUUGGACCCUAAAUAUGGUUUAUGUAAGUUUGACCUUGACACUUGAUCUAGUUUGAUAAAACGGGACAAUUAAUUAAUUAUGUAUGGUUGAAAAUGAUUUUACAGAUUCGAGUUUUGUACCUCCAUUGGUGUACGCAUGUAUGGGGAGUUCUAGGGACAUAGCAAUAGGACCCGUCGCUGUGGUUUCUCUGCUGCUAGGUACUCUCCUUCAAGCUGAGGUCGAUCCAGUCACAAACCCUGAGGAGUACCUCCGACUUGCCUUCACCGCCA
rnacentral:lncRNA from 1 species